UUAAGCGACUAAGCGUACACGGUGGAUGCCCUGGCAGUCAGAGGCGAUGAAGGACGUGCUAAUCUGCGAAAAGCGCCGGCGAGGUGAUAUGAACCUUUGACCCGGCGAUGUCCGAAUGGGGAAACCCAGUGUGUUCCGACACACUAUCGUUAACUGAAUACAUAGGUUAACGAGGCGAACCGGGGGAACUGAAACAUCUAAGUACCCCGAGGAAAAGAAAUCAACCGAGAUUCCCCCAGUAGCGGCGAGCGAACGGGGAGCAGCCCAGAGUCUGAAUCAGCUUGUGUGUUAGUGGAACGGUCUGGAAAGUCCGACGGUACAGGGUGAUAGUCCCGUACACCAAAAUGCACAGGCUGUGAACUCGAAGAGUAGGGCGGGACACGUGGUAUCCUGUCUGAAUAUGGGGGGACCAUCCUCCAAGGCUAAAUACUCCUGACUGACCGAUAGUGAACCAGUACCGUGAGGGAAAGGCGAAAAGAACCCCGGCGAGGGGAGUGAAAAAGAACCUGAAACCGUGUACGUACAAGCAGUGGGAGCACCUUCGGGUGUGACUGCGUACCUUUUGUAUAAUGGGUCAGCGACUUAUAUUCUGUAGCAAGGUUAACCGUAUAGGGGAGCCGAAGGGAAACCGAGUCUUAACUGGGCGUUAAGUUGCAGGGUAUAGACCCGAAACCCGGUGAUCUAGCCAUGGGCAGGUUGAAGGUUGGGUAACACUAACUGGAGGACCGAACCGACUAAUGUUGAAAAAUUAGCGGAUGACUUGUGGCUGGGGGUGAAAGGCCAAUCAAACCGGGAGAUAGCUGGUUCUCCCCGAAAGCUAUUUAGGUAGCGCCUCGUGAACUCAUCUUCGGGGGUAGAGCACUGUUUCGGCUAGGGGGUCAUCCCGACUUACCAACCCGAUGCAAACUACGAAUACCGAAGAAUGUUAUCACGGGAGACACACGGCGGGUGCUAACGUCCGUCGUGAAGAGGGAAACAACCCAGACCGCCAGCUAAGGUCCCAAAGUCAUGGUUAAGUGGGAAACGAUGUGGGAAGGCACAGACAGCCAGGAUGUUGGCUUAGAAGCAGCCAUCAUUUAAAGAAAGCGUAAUAGCUCACUGGUCGAGUCGGCCUGCGCGGAAGAUGUAACGGGGCUAAACCAUGCACCGAAGCUGCGGCAGCGACACUAUGUGUUGUUGGGUAGGGGAGCGUUCUGUAAGCCGUUGAAGGUGUGCUGUGAGGCAUGCUGGAGGUAUCAGAAGUGCGAAUGCUGACAUAAGUAACGAUAAAGCGGGUGAAAAGCCCGCUCGCCGGAAGACCAAGGGUUCCUGUCCAACGUUAAUCGGGGCAGGGUGAGUCGACCCCUAAGGCGAGGCCGAAAGGCGUAGUCGAUGGGAAACAGGUUAAUAUUCCUGUACUUGGUGUUACUGCGAAGGGGGGACGGAGAAGGCUAUGUUAGCCGGGCGACGGUUGUCCCGGUUUAAGCAUGUAGGCGGAGGUUCCAGGUAAAUCCGGUACCUUAUUAACGCUGAGGUGUGAUGACGAGGCACUACGGUGCUGAAGUAACAAAUGCCCUGCUUCCAGGAAAAGCCUCUAAGCAUCAGGUAACAUCAAAUCGUACCCCAAACCGACACAGGUGGUCAGGUAGAGAAUACCAAGGCGCUUGAGAGAACUCGGGUGAAGGAACUAGGCAAAAUGGUGCCGUAACUUCGGGAGAAGGCACGCUGAUAUGUAGGUGAAGUGAUUUACUCAUGGAGCUGAAAUCAGUCGAAGAUACCAGCUGGCUGCAACUGUUUAUUAAAAACACAGCACUGUGCAAACACGAAAGUGGACGUAUACGGUGUGACGCCUGCCCGGUGCCGGAAGGUUAAUUGAUGGGGUUAGCGGCAACGCGAAGCUCUUGAUCGAAGCCCCGGUAAACGGCGGCCGUAACUAUAACGGUCCUAAGGUAGCGAAAUUCCUUGUCGGGUAAGUUCCGACCUGCACGAAUGGCGUAAUGAUGGCCAGGCUGUCUCCACCCGAGACUCAGUGAAAUUGAACUCGCUGUGAAGAUGCAGUGUACCCGCGGCAAGACGGAAAGACCCCGUGAACCUUUACUAUAGCUUGACACUGAACACUGGUCCUUGAUGUGUAGGAUAGGUGGGAGGCUUUGAAGCGUGGACGCCAGUCUGCGUGGAGCCAACCUUGAAAUACCACCCUUUAAUGGCUGGUGUUCUAACGUAGACCCGUAAUCCGGGUUGCGGACAGUGUCUGGUGGGUAGUUUGACUGGGGCGGUCUCCUCCCAAAGAGUAACGGAGGAGCACGAAGGUUAGCUAAUCCUGGUCGGACAUCAGGAGGUUAGUGCAAUGGCAUAAGCUAGCUUGACUGCGAGCGUGACGGCGCGAGCAGGUGCGAAAGCAGGUCAUAGUGAUCCGGUGGUUCUGAAUGGAAGGGCCAUCGCUCAACGGAUAAAAGGUACUCCGGGGAUAACAGGCUGAUACCGCCCAAGAGUUCAUAUCGACGGCGGUGUUUGGCACCUCGAUGUCGGCUCAUCACAUCCUGGGGCUGAAGUAGGUCCCAAGGGUAUGGCUGUUCGCCAUUUAAAGUGGUACGCGAGCUGGGUUUAGAACGUCGUGAGACAGUUCGGUCCCUAUCUGCCGUGGGCGCUGGAGAAUUGAGGGGGGCUGCUCCUAGUACGAGAGGACCGGAGUGGACGCAUCACUGGUGUUCGGGUUGUCAUGCCAAUGGCACUGCCCGGUAGCUAAAUGCGGAAGAGAUAAGUGCUGAAAGCAUCUAAGCACGAAACUUGCCCCGAGAUGAGUUCUCCCUGAGACUUUAAGUCUCCUGAAGGAACGUUGAAGACGACGACGUUGAUAGGUCGGGUGUGUAAGCGCAGCGAUGCGUUGAGCUAACCGAUACUAAUGAACCGUGAGGCUUAACCUU
rnacentral:rRNA from 1 species